rnacentral:rRNA from 1 species
UACGAAGGGGGCUAGCGUUGUUCGGAAUUACUGGGCGUAAAGCGCGCGCAGGCGGCUAUCCAAGUCAGUGGUGAAAGCCCGGAGCUCAACUCCGGAACUGCCAUUGAAACUGUUUAGCUUGAGUAUGAGAGAGGUGAGUGGAAUUCCCAGUGUAGAGGUGAAAUUCGUAGAUAUUGGGAAGAACACCGGUGGCGAAGGCGGCUCCCUGGCUCAUUACUGACGCUCAGGCGCGACAGCGUGGGGAUCAAACAGG